GACGAACGCUGGCGGCGUGCUUAACACAUGCAAGUCGAACGGAAAGGCCCUGCUUGCAGGGUGCUCGAGUGGCGAACGGGUGAGUAACACGUGGGUGAUCUGCCCCUUACUUUGGGAUAAGCCUGGGAAACUGGGUCUAAUACUGGAUAGGACCAUGCUGUAGGUGGUGUGGUGGAAAGAUUAGUUUCGGUAAGGGAUGAGCUCGCGGCCUAUCAGCUUGUUGGUGGGGUAAUGGCCUACCAAGGCGUCGACGGGUAGCCGGCCUGAGAGGGUGGACGGCCACAUUGGGACUGAGAUACGGCCCAGACUCCUACGGGAGGCAGCAGUGGGGAAUAUUGCACAAUGGGCGCAAGCCUGAUGCAGCGACGCCGCGUGGGGGAUGACGGCCUUCGGGUUGUAAACUCCUUUCAGCCACGACGAAGCCCUUGUGGUGACGGUAGUGGUAGAAGAAGCACCGGCUAACUACGUG
rnacentral:rRNA from 1 species